rnacentral:rRNA from 1 species
UGGGGAAUUUUGGACAAUGGGGGAAACCCUGAUCCAGCCAUCCCGCGUGUGCGAUGAAGGCCUUCGGGUUGUAAAGCACUUUUGGCAGGAAAGAAACGUCGCGGGUUAAUACCCCGCGAAACUGACGGUACCUGCAGAAUAAGCACCGGCUAACUACGUGCCAGCAGCCGCGGUAAUACGUAGGGUGCAAGCGUUAAUCGGAAUUACUGGGCGUAAAGCGUGCGCAGGCGGUUCGGAAAGAAAGAUGUGAAAUCCCAGAGCUUAACUUUGGAACUGCAUUUUUAACUACCGGGCUAGAGUGUGUCAGAGGGAGGUGGAAUUCCGCGUGUAGCAGUGAAAUGCGUAGAUAUGCGGAGGAACACCGAUGGCGAAGGCAGCCUCCUGGGGAUAACACUGACGCUCAUGCACGAAAAGCGUGGGGAGCAAAACAGGAUUAGAUACCCUGGUAGUCCACGCCCUAAAACGAUGUCAAACUAGCUGUUGGGGGCCUUCGGGCCUUGGUAGCGCAGCUAACGCGUGAAGUUGACCGCCUGGGGAGUACGGUCGCAAGAUUAAAAACUCAAAAUGAAUUGACGGGGGUCAUAGCUGUUUUCCU